UACCUGGUUGAUCCUGCCAGUAGUCAUAUGCUUGUCUCAAAGAUUAAGCCAUGCAAGUCUAAGUACGAGCUCUCGUACAGUGAAACUGCGAAUGGCUCAUUAAAUCAGUUAUGGUUCAUUUGAUCGUACAGUUUACUUGGAUAACUGUGGUAAUUCUAGAGCUAAUACAUGCGAGAAGCGCCGACCUCGCGGGAGGCGUGCAUUUAUCAGACCAAAAACCGGCCGCGUCUUCGGGCGCGUUCGCCUUGGUGACUCUGGAUAACUUUGCGGAUCGCACGGUCUAGCACCGGCGACGGAUCAUUCAAGUGUCUGCCCUAUCAACUUUCGUCGGUACGGUAUUUGCCUACCGAGGUUCUUACGGGUGACGGGGAAUCAGGGUUCGAUUCCGGAGAGGGAGCCUGAGAAACGGCUACCACAUCCAAGGAAGGCAGCAGGCGCGCAAAUUACCCAUUCCCGACGCGGGGAGGUAGUGACGAAAAAUAACAAUGCAGGACUCGUUCGAGGCCCUGUAAUUGGAAUGAGUACACUUUAAAAGCUUUAACGAGUAUCCAUUGGAGGGCAAGUCUGGUGCCAGCAGCCGCGGUAAUUCCAGCUCCAAAAGUAUAUAUUUAAGUUGUUGCGGUUAAAAAGCUCGUAGUUGGAUUUUGGGCGCAGGCGGCCGGUCCGUCGCAAGGCGUGUACUGGACGUCCUGGCCUUCCCUCCGGUUCUCCGCCGGUGCUCUUGACUGAGUGUCGGCGGCGGCCGGAACGUUUACUUUGAAAAAAUUAGAGUGUUCAAAGCAGGCUCUCGAGCCUGGAUAAUGGUGCAUGGAAUAAUGGAAUAGGACCUCGGUUCUAUUUUGUUGGUUUUCGGAGCGCGAGGUAAUGAUUAAGAGGGACAGACGGGGGCAUUCGUACUGUGCCGUUAGAGGUGAAAUUCUUGGAUCGGCGCAAGACGAACGACUGCGAAAGCAUUUGCCAAGAAUGUUUUCUUUAAUCAAGAGCGAAAGUCAGAGGUUCGAAGACGAUCAGAUACCGUCCUAGUUCUGACUAUAAACGAUGCCAACUAGCGAUCGGGGGGCGUUACAUUGACGACCCCUCCCGGCAGCUUACGGGAAACCAAAGUCUUUGGGUUCCGGGGGAAGUAUGGUUGCAAAGCUGAAACUUAAAGGAAUUGACGGAAGGGCACCACCAGGAGUGGAGCCUGCGGCUUAAUUUGACUCAACACGGGAAAUCUCACCCGGCCCGGACACAGUGAGGAUUGACAGAUUGAGAGCUCUUUCUUGAUUCUGUGGGUGGUGGUGCAUGGCCGUUCUUAGUUGGUGGAGCGAUUUGUCUGGUUAAUUCCGAUAACGAACGAGACUCUGGCUUGCUAAAUAGUUACGAACGACCAUCCCGGUCGGCGUUUAACUUCUUAGAGGGACAAGUGGCGUUUAGCCACACGAUGAUUGAUGCAAUAACAGGUCUGUGAUGCCCUUAGAUGUUCGGGGCCGCACGCGCGCUACACUGACCGGAUCGAGCGUGUGCUCUCCUUGGCCGACAGGUCCGGGAAACCCGUUGAACGCCCGGUCGUGCUAGGGAUAGGGAAUUGCAAUUAUUUCCCUUGAACGAGGAAUUCCCAGUAAGCGCGAGUCAUUAGCUCGCGUUGAUUACGUCCCUUGCCCUUUGUACACACCGGCCCGUCGCUACUACCGAUUGAAUGGUUUAGUGAGGUCCUCCCGAUUGGACCCGGUCCGGGCGGCGACGUCCGGAGCCGGCGUCCGAGAAGACGAUCUAACUUGAUCAUUUAGAGGAAGUAAAAGUCGUAACAAGGUUUCCGUAGGUGAACCUGCGGAAGGAUCAUUA
rfam:Ciona savignyi cont_64179, whole genome shotgun sequence.